rnacentral:rRNA from 1 species
AACGAACGCUGGCGGCAGGCUUAACACAUGCAAGUCGAGCGCCCCGCAAGGGGAGCGGCAGACGGGUGAGUAACGCGUGGGAAUCUACCCAUCCCUACGGACUAGCUCCGGGAAACUGGAAUUAAUACCGUAUACGCACUACGGGGGAACGAUUUAUCGGGGAGGGAUGAGCCCGCGUUGGAUUAGAUAGUUGGAGGGGUAAAAGCCUACCAAGGCGACGCUCCAUAGCUGGUCUGAGAUGAUGAUCAGCCACAUUGGGACUGAGACACGGCCCAAACUCCUAAGGGAGGCAGCAGUGGGGAAUAUUGGACAAUGGGGGCAACCCUGAACCAGCCAUGCCGCGUGAGUGAUGAAGGCCUUAGGGUUGUAAAGCUCUUUCACCGGGGAAGAUAAUGACGGUACCCGGAGAAGAAGCCCCGGCUAACUUCGUGCCAGCAGCCGCCGCAG